rnacentral:misc_RNA from 1 species
GUGGGAGCAAAGCUUGCUCGCGAUACAGGCGCCUCGGUUUCUGAAAUACCGAGUGUCUCCAUCGCGGGCAAGCCUUGCUCCCAC